GGGGGUGAACCUGGUUUCGACGGGGGUGCGGAAUCAAGAUAAGCGAGCCGUAGUUUGCCAAUCUACGUUAAAAAUGGCACGUUAAAUAUAAACGCAAAGAACAGAACAAACUUCGCACUGGCAGCUUAAGCCGUCGCGCGUCAGCUCCGAUUUACCUGUAGGUCGGAAGUCCUGGCGUCAAACAUACAGGAAAACCUUAUGUGAGCUCCUAGUAGCAUAGGGGAACAAUAGGAUAGCCGGAUUCGAAGCCUGCUGAUGGGCGUCGGAUGAGGCGAAACAACAAAACAUCAGCUGCGCUCGGAGAAAUUCUUGAGGAAGCGCUUUCGGACGUGAGUUCGACUCUCACCACCUCCACCA
rnacentral:tmRNA from 1 species